GGCCUCGUAGCUCAGAUGGUAGAGUGCUGAUGGUAAUCAAGUUUUACACUUGCUGUCGUGGGAUAGAAUCCCACCGAGGCCG
rnacentral:tRNA from 1 species